rnacentral:rRNA from 1 species
UGGGGGAGACCUGAUGCAGCCAUGCCGCGUGUGUGAAGAAGGCCUUCGGGUUGUAAAGCACUUUCAGCAGUGAGGAAGGUGGUGUACUUAAUACGUGCAUUGCUUGACGUUAGCUGCAGAAGAAGCACCGGCUAACUCCGUGCCAGCAGCCGCGGUAAUACGGAGGGUGCGAGCGUUAAUCGGAAUUACUGGGCGUAAAGCGCAUGCAGGCGGUUUGUUAAGUCAGAUGUGAAAGCCCGGGGCUCAACCUCGGAACCGCAUUUGAAACUGGCAGGCUAGAGUCUUGUAGAGGGGGGUAGAAUUUCAGGUGUAGCGGUGAAAUGCGUAGAGAUCUGAAGGAAUACCAGUGGCGAAGGCGGCCCCCUGGACAAAGACUGACGCUCAGAUGCGAAAGCGUGGGUAGCAAACAGGAUUAGAUACCCUGGUAGUCCACGCCGUAAACGCUGUCUACUUGGAGGUUGAGGUUUAAGACUUUGGCUUUCGGCGCUAACGCAUUAAGUAGACCGCCUGGGGAGUACGGCCGCAAGGUUAAAACUCAAAUGAAUUGACGGGGGCCCGCACAAGCGGUGGAGCAUGUGGUUUAAUUCGAUGCAACGCGAAGAACCUUACCUACUCUUGACAUCCAGAGAACUUUCCAGAGAUGGAUUGGUGCCUUCGGGAACUCUGAGACAGGUGCUGCAUGGCUGUCGUCAGCUCGUGUUGUGAAAUGUUGGGUUAAGUCCCGCAACGAGCGCAACCCUUAUCCUUGUUUGCCAGCGCGUAAUGUCGGGAACUCCAGGGAGACUGCCGGUGAUAAACCGGAGGAAGGUGGGGACGACGUCAAGUCAUCAUGGCCCUUA